CUGAGCUGUUAGUCAGCUCGAUCCCCGAAACCUCAGAACCACAGCCGGACUCUGCGAACGUUCCGCCGUCUCCAGGCAACCGGACCUCGGCCAGCUGAUUGGUUACAGGGGAGAGCCUGGCUCUGAUCAGCUGUUCCGUCUGAGGGGGGAGGGGGGACACGGUUUCUGUUUAUGUUGCGUACCGAUGACAUCAGCCGCAGGAAGGAACUGGUACGGUAACUUCUCUAUACAUGAGAGCCCAAACCUGACAGUAUACCCAGCUGUGUCCUUUUUGCAGGGAAUCAGUUGUUUACCACCCCUGCCCAGUGUCCUCCCCAGCAGCUACCUGCUGAUCGCUAAGUAACAGCGCAUGCGCAGACCCC